GACGAACGCUGGCGGCGUGCUUAACACAUGCAAGUCGAACGAUGAUGCCCAGCUUGCUGGGCGGAUUAGUGGCGAACGGGUGAGUAAUACGUGAGUAACCUGCCCUUGACUCUGGGAUAAGCCUGGGAAACUGGGUCUAAUACUGGAUACUACCUCUUGCCGCAUGGUGGGUGGUGGAAAGGGUUUUACUGGUUUUGGAUGGGCUCACGGCCUAUCAGCUUGUUGGUGGGGUAAUGGCUCACCAAGGCGACGACGGGUAGCCGGCCUGAGAGGGUGACCGGCCACACUGGGACUGAGACACGGCCCAGACUCCUACGGGAGGCAGCAGUGGGGAAUAUUGCACAAUGGGCGGAAGCCUGAUGCAGCGACGCCGCGUGAGGGAUGACGGCCUUCGGGUUGUAAACCUCUUUCAGUAGGGAAGAAGCGAGAGUGACGGUACCUGCAGAAGAAGCGCCGGCUAACUACGUGCCAGCAGCCGCGGUAAUACGUAGGGCGCAAGCGUUGUCCGGAAUUAUUGGGCGUAAAGAGCUCGUAGGCGGUUUGUCGCGUCUGCUGUGAAAGCCCGGGGCUCAACCCCGGGUCUGCAGUGGGUACGGGCAGACUAGAGUACAGUAGGGGAGACUGGAAUUCCUGGUGUAGCGGUGAAAUGCGCAGAUAUCAGGAGGAACACCGAUGGCGAAGGCAGGUCUCUGGGCUGUUACGGACGCUGAGGAGCGAAAGCAUGGGGAGCGAACAGGAUUAGAUACCCUGGUAGUCCAUGCCGUAAACGUUGGGCACUAGGUGUGGGGGACAUUCCACGUUUUCCGCGCCGUAGCUAACGCAUUAAGUGCCCCGCCUGGGGAGUACGGCCGCAAGGCUAAAACUCAAAGGAAUUGACGGGGGCCCGCACAAGCGGCGGAGCAUGCGGAUUAAUUCGAUGCAACGCGAAGAACCUUACCAAGGCUUGACAUUCACCGGACCGCCCCAGAGAUGGGGUUUCCCUUCGGGGCUGGUGGACAGGUGGUGCAUGGUUGUCGUCAGCUCGUGUCGUGAGAUGUUGGGUUAAGUCCCGCAACGAGCGCAACCCUCGUUCUAUGUUGCCAGCACGUGAUGGUGGGGACUCAUAGGAGACUGCCGGGGUCAACUCGGAGGAAGGUGGGGAUGACGUCAAAUCAUCAUGCCCCUUAUGUCUUGGGCUUCACGCAUGCUACAAUGGCCGGUACAAAGGGUUGCGAUACUGUGAGGUGGAGCUAAUCCCAAAAAGCCGGUCUCAGUUCGGAUUGAGGUCUGCAACUCGACCUCAUGAAGUCGGAGUCGCUAGUAAUCGCAGAUCAGCAACGCUGCGGUGAAUACGUUCCCGGGCCU
rnacentral:rRNA from 1 species